GAUGAACGCUGGCGGCGUGCUUAACACAUGCAAGUCGAACGGAAAGGCCCAAGCUUGCUUGGGUACUCGAGUGGCGAACGGGUGAGUAACACGUGGGUGAUCUGCCCUGCACUUCGGGAUAAGCCCGGGAAACUGGGUCUAAUACCGGAUAGGAGGAUGGUCUGGAUGCCAUUGUGGAAAGAUUUUUCGGUGUGGGAUGUGCACGCGGCGUAUCAGCUCGUGGGUGGGGUAAUGGCCUAUCAAGGCGUCGACGGGUAGCCGGCCUGUGAGGGUGUACGGCGACAUUGGGGCUGAGAGACGGCCCAGACUCCUACGGGGGGGAGCAGUGGGGAAUAUUGUACAAUGGGCGCAGGCCUGAGGCAGCGACGCCGCGUGGGGGAUGACGGCCUUCGGGUUGUAAACUCCGUUCGCUAGGGACGAAGCGUUUUUGUGACGGUACCUGGAGAAGAAGCACCGGCUAACUACGUG
rnacentral:rRNA from 1 species